UCCUCUUCCGCCCUUACGGAUUGGUGGUUU
rnacentral:piRNA from 1 species